GUCAGUCUGUCACUGUGUGUGCUGGUGUGCGUGCGCCUCUCUGUGUGUUCGCGCGUGUGUGUGUGUGUGCGACGUAUCUGUGCCCGCUCAGUGCUCUGUGCUCAAAUGCAAUUUACAAUUACGCGCGGCAAUUGGAGCAGCUACCGUUGUGUGCGUGCGUACGUGCGGGAUCAUUGCACAUUGCGUCAACGUUUCAAGAUCACAAUUACAAUUACCCCGACGCAGUGGCAGUUGCAGUAGCACCAAAAAAUCCAUCUCAAUUGCGAGAGAACCGAACAGUGGCAAAAGCAACCGAAAAUUAAGUAAGGCACAGCAAAUUUGUCGAAGAAAACUAUCAACAAUACAAGUAAAUAAGAACGGCAGAACGGCCGCCCGCCCCCACAACAGCUGCUCUCCGUUGAUGCGCCACUCCACUCCGCGGCUCAACGAUUCUUCUAUACAAUUCUUCGAGCCUCCUCCCCUCGCCCAUUCUCGCCCCACGAGACUCCCCUCCCCCCGCCCCCCACGCUGCUCUUCUCGAUUCUUUUCGCCCCUCCCGCCGGCCCGCUGGAAAAAACGGGCAGAGCUGCAGAGCCGCAGAAAGCGAUUUCAGUUCGGCGACGGCAGCGCACAGGUGCCAUUCGGAAAGUGCGGACGUAGAAUGUUUGCCGGGAAUUCCAGUGGCAUUUUCACCUAUAGUUCCACUCGAUUUUGCCUCGACGCCAGCGUUAGUAGCGCGUUUCGACGGAACACACAGAUCGUUUUCCAACACCAUAAGCACCAUUUCACUUUUGAGUCUUUCCUUAUCAGUCACUCCCAAUCACUACCCAACCAUCAUCCACUACUCUUCACUAGUUUCUCUUUCUACUAUCCUUUUUCUUAUUAUUCCCAUCCUCCCUUUUAACUAUCUUCACACACUCAUUCUUAACGGAAAUCUUCACUGUUUUUAUGCUUUCUACUAUCGUUCUAUCCGCCAGCCUUUCACUUUUCACUCGCUUCUAACAUUUACCAUUCUAGCUAUUUUUUUACCAUCUCUUACCAUUGAAUUCUUUAUAUAAGCCUUAGUAAAUUAGUAUACAGAAAAUAGUACGAAUUUCCAUUUUCCAUUUUCUGCACUUUUUUCAACUUCUUCUGCUUACAACAUCUUUCUUAUCACCAAUCCCAUUACACUUUCUUGCAUAUUCCUAUUUCAUUUUUGCUGUUCUAACGAAUCUCACACUUACUUCAUUAGUCCCAACUCUUUGCUAACCUGGUGUAUACAUACCUUUACCCACCCCACCUCUACCCGCGAUCCAGCCAAUCCAUCCAUGUGAGAUGAGUGCGUGCGACGGCGGUACGGGAACGGUUUCGCGAACGUCUGACGCCCCCGCUUUCCAAUUCGAUGUCAUGCCAAAGAUAACGACGUCGACGUCGACGUCGAAAGCGUCGGCAGCGAGGGCGAAAACGAAAACGACAGCAAAAGCAACAACAAUUGGAAAAACAACAACGACGACAACGCGGAGAACGGUUAAAAUUGAAAAUAAAUGGACGACGGCAGAGGCAACGGCGUUCAGUUAUCAGCGGACAGCGGAGCAGAUUGGAGCUAGUGCCCGAGCCAGAGCCAGAACCAAAGUAGCAGCUACAGUCAGAGCUAGAGCAAACCCAAUUGCGGCCACAUCCAAUCAGCGAAGUGACAUUGGUUAUCCAUGUGAGGUGGCAUCCAUCUCCGAGUUGGCCCUACGCAAGGCGCAGUUGAAAGCGCAAUUUUUCGGCAAUCAAGUGGGUGGAUUAGCCCGCGAUAGCGAGACAAGCAGCACCACUAGAAUCACUCGCACCACCAACUACCGCAGUGCUUAUCCCAGCUGCAAGACGGAACGAGGCAAGCCGGUGCAACAGCUAAUCGAUCAGUUCCAGGCCAUGAUUGUCCAGCAGCAGCAGCAGCAGCAGCUGAGCAACGAGGGCGAGCCCAAGACACUGCCCGGAGCCACUGCAUCCAAUUCGGAUGAGGGCUGUAAUGUCACCGGCGGCGGACUGAGUCCCUAUAGCAGCGACAACGAGGAUAACAGCCUAUCGCCGAGGCAGCGCAAAAUGAAGGUCACACGCUGUGCCAGUAGUGAUUCCGCCCUGGGUCUGGACGUGGACGAUGGCGGCAUGGAUGUGCCGUUGCCGCCACAACGUCGGAUGACACUGACCGUAACGGAUUUACCCCUGCGACCGGCCCUACUGCCACUGGCCGAACCCACAGCCCUGCCAGAUUCGCCACUGACAUCGCCCACCGGCGGUGGCAAUCCGAGCGUGGGUGUGCCCACCAAGGUGCUGCUCGAGGAGCGAGUGGUAGCCGCACCGGGAUCGCGACGUGAAUCCACCCAGAGCUCGUACAGCGAACUGGGCGUCAGUGGACUGCCGCUGGGCGUGCGCUAUGUGCGCACACCAUCCGUCGUGGUUAGCGACUAUUCGGAUGACAUAACCGCCUGCGGCAUUAGCAUGGAGGAAAUGGAAUACUUUCGUCUGCAGCGGGCGCGUGGUCAGCGGCGUUGUUCCCUGGAGGCGGGACAUCACAGUCAUAGCGGUGGACAUGGCGCACAUGGACACGGUGGAUCGGGAGCGGCGGGAAUGUCGCCGGGAUGUGGCAAGGACGAUGGCCAAUCGGAUGUCAGUGCAGCAAGCAGUUGCAGCAAUCUCUACUAUUGUGGAUCCACCAUUUCUGCCCUCGAUGGUGGCGAGUGCAUCGUGAAUGGAGUUCGAGUUGCGCUCGCCAGGAAGAGCAGCACCCAGAGCAGCAGUCUCAGCGACGAGGAGGAGGAGGAGGAGGAUGACGACGAGGAUCGCGAUGAGCAGGAUCGCGAUGAGGAUGAUCGCGAUGCGGAGGAGAUGCUUCAGGAGGAUUACGAGCGGGGGGAUCGCGAACGUGAGAGGGAGCGGCAGAUCAGCGAACUAAUGGCCGCCACGCAGCUUGGUGAUCGUCAGCGGGAUCGAUCCAAGAAGGUAGGCGCCCGCGAUGACGUCACAAACCAGGGAAAUCUCAAACUAGACUAAAGAAUUCGGGUUGGCAAAACGGACAAGUAACAAAGUGGAGCAGCCUAGUAAAUUUAAUAUUAAACACUAUUUUUUUUUUUUCGUUUUUAAAUAUCAUUAAUGAUUGUUUGUGUUGUUGUUAUCGAAAGCAUAAAAGAGCAGUGAAUGAGGGCAGGUCUGAAUGGCAGCGAAAGAGAUAAGCAAGUUGGUGCAUAUACACAGGGAGAAACGGGUGCUACGCGUAGAUGAAAUGUGGCAUAAUUAAAAAAAAAAAAAAACAAUCUAUUUUGCUCUAGAGCAGUAUUAUACCGUUUAGUUUAUCAACUGCAAGACCAUUAUAACUAUAGAAAAAGACUAUAAUAAUAAGACUUUUACAAUACGCAUAUCUAUUAAAUAUAAAAAGAAAAAAAAAAACAAAGAAAAUCCCUUGAACUACUGACUUGAUAAUGCGAAUUACCACUAAGUUUCAUCUUGUUUUAAAGAUGAUGAGAUGAUAUAUAGGCUCAAGAACGGUAAUCCCGCGCCUUAUCAGCUAAUGGUUUUUCCACCUUGCAUAUGCAGGUCUUUUCUUUCAGUGUAUGCGUUUGCUUAAAAGGCUAUUAAUUAAUUAGAAUUUUAUCUUAUCACUAAAAUGAGGUUCUGUUACUCGGAGAAGUCUUUUUGU
ensembl:ncRNA lncRNA:CR45018 long non-coding RNA:CR45018